AUUGAACGCUGGCGGCAGGCCUAACACAUGCAAGUCGAACGAGUGGCGGACGGGUGAGUAAUGUCUGGGACACUGCCUGAUGGAGGGGGAUAACUACUGGAAACGGUAGUUAAUACCGCAUACCAUCAGAUGUGCCCAGAUGGGAUUAGCUAGUUGGUGGGGUAACGGGUCACCAAGGCGACGAUCCCUAGCUGGUCUGAGAGGAUGACCAGCCACACGGGAACAUAGACACUGUCCAGAGUCCCAGGGUAGGCAGCAGUGGGGAAUAGUGCACAAUGGGCGCAAGCCUGAUGCAGCCAUGCCGCGUGUAUGAAGAAGGCCUUCGGGUUUUAAAGUACUUUCAGCGGGGAGGCGUUACCCGCAGAAGAAGCACCGGCUAACUCCGUGCCAGCAGCCGCGGUAAUUC
rnacentral:rRNA from 1 species